GGGUGGAGGCUGUCAGCUUCCCCAGUACUCCUCUGCUUGCUUACUUUUUGUUGUCAGGGUCCUUCUCGCUGAUUUUCUCUAGCACGUUAAUUUCAAGUCGAGCUGCUUCCUGCUUGUACUUUUCCACAUUCUUUAAUGAUCUUCAGGGCAACUCGAGCCCCACCCCCUGGAGGUUCACAAAGGUGCACAGAAGGCUUUUUUGUUGGGUUCUCAAGCACAUUCCAGACUGAAUGAGGCUGUGUGGUCUAAGAAAUCCUGCCUUUGGCUAAUUAGCAGAACAGUCCCAGAUACCUCCCUCUUAUCUCUAAGCCUCAGCAGGCACGGAAUUGGAAGGGGGCUGCGGGUUACCUUCGAUGGUCAACACACUGUACAACACGGCCGAAGGUCCCCUCUCCUAAGGUGCUAACAAUUUCAUCUGCAAUGAAAGACAGGAGGGUGGGGGAGAGGGAGGGAGAGAAGAGGGGGAAUGAGCUGAAUUGGAAGAAAAAUGUGCAUCACAUAUGGGGUUAGGAGAUGAAGGAAGGGGAACAGAUAUAGAUGGUCACAGGGGAAGAAACCCCUGCGUGAUUCCCACCACCUUUAACCCAGGGGCCAUGAGAGCUGGGAGUGGCCAACAAAGGUCAAUUCUCAACAGCAACUCAAACCACCCAGAUGAGCAACACCACUGAGAAAAGGCAAAGAGGCUGUGACUUGGGUCGGCUCGGGACGUUAGGAUGGCUAUGGGACCAUUACAGGCUAUAGGAUUGUUACGAUUUGGCUUGUACAUCGCUUCCUUUGUAGCCAGUCCCCGACGUGGUAGAUGAGGUGGCCCCUCAGCGCCGCCCUCUACACUCUUGGCUCUCCGGCUGCUGUGCUGCUGUCGGGGGGCGGGGGGGAUCGGAGCAAGCCAGGUGUCGGAGCGGGGGGCCGGAGGGAGGCGUGGGUGGGUGGUGGAGGGGUCACCGGUCACAGGCGCCCAGCCAGGGGGACAGACGAUGAUGGGGGACAGUGGAAGGGAACACGUCAGAUGCAGUAAGGCGGACUGGUGUGAGAAGAGAGAGCGGCGCAUAAUCCCAAGUCCCCAAACCCAAAAUGGGAACAGGGAGAGGAAUGGGCAGAGCAGAGAAGUGAUGUCGUUGCCAGUGUCACCCACAACCCCAUGCUCUUCACAGUGCCCUCUGGAUGGGCACAAGUCUCCCCUUGCCCCCACCCAAGCUCGCCUGUGAGGGGGGCGCCGCACAGAGCCCAGGGCUUGGAAGAAAAACACAGUUUACAAGCAAGGUCCCCACCAGCAAGUGGAAGCCUCUGGGGCAGAGAAGCUGCUCCCAACACAAUAUGCCCAGCAUGCCGGGAGGGCGCCGGGGUCAGAGUCUCCACGCCUCCGUCUCCAAAGCAGGUUCCCCGCCUUCAAGAGCUGGAGCGCUUCCACAAGCGGGCAGACUCAGUGCCCACAUCCGUGUUCAUGCCCCAAGGCUCGGGUUAGAGCAAGGCUAUGUCUCACUUACCAGGGUCCCGGGGCUGGAAAAGUGGGGAGAAGAAGGGCCUGAGCUGGUACUCACCGAAGAUGAGCGGCUGAAUGUCCGGCUGCGCCUCCUCCGCCGUCUGUGCUUCCUCCGACUACUGCGCUGGCUGCGGCAGCUACUGUUUUCCCGGUGAUACUCGUAGGAGUGUCGAUAGCCUGUGUCAUAGUAGGCCUCUCCCCGAUCCCGGCUGUAGUCAUUGCGCCUGCCUCACCUCCGGGAACGAACAUGGUAGCUGUCUUCUCGGCGGCGCCGCCGUGUUCGAUCACUGCUACUAGACCAGGAGCGACUUCCCCUUCGCCGCUUAUGCUUUCGGGCUCCGAUAAUGUUCAUGGUAACUCCCUCGGCUGCCUCGCUCUGAGGAAUGGUACCUUCGGGG
ensembl:lncRNA